UGCGGGAACUGGGAACGAGAAUGCACGCGCCCGUAAGCAAUCGGGUUUGCGAUCAUUCUCGAGCAUGCGUACUAACUUUUGGCGCCAUUAUCGAACGUUGGCCGUUGGGAUUUGCUUCGACGAAGGAUACGGAUAAAAUACAAGCGUAAAACCUCUUCGUUGCAGUAUAUUUUGGACAAAUAAACAACUUAUUAGGAAAAUACGUUCAAGAAACGUCUCGUGCUGUACUAGCCUAAUUCUGGCAAAUGUUAUUUACUUUCUUCACCUUCGUGUCGACGACUGUUGUUUGCUGAUGGCCAAAUCACGACAGCGGACAUCAAUUAUUCAAAAUAUGUUCUUAUAGCUUCACGUUUACGAUACGAAACACGUUUGAAUGUAAGAUUAUCUAUUUUUUGUAUAUGUAGGUUCUAGUUGAAAGUGACAGCGACGAUGAAAAGAGUGCACACAACAUUGAAAUAUCCAGUUCACUACUAGCUCGAAUCCUGCGACAUAUCACUUGCUAGUAGCUCAGUCUAGUUUAACUUUUCCCAAUCAAGAGUCAUCUCCUGAAUCAGGCAUACUGGCAACACUGGUUCAUUUGAUAAUGUAAGUUUUUAAACUGGUAUUUUAGAUUAUAGCCUCGGUCAAAUGAGGAUGAAAGUCAUGCAUGAAUUGCUUAUAAAUACACAAAGGACAUUUCAAGUUCCAGAUGAACAAAAUAUUAUUAAAGCUUUGAUGAGUGUUCCAACUAUGUUUCAACUUAAUUAAAAUACUCUCAUCCUCGUUUGAUCCAUAAUUAUUUGUUGAUUUUACUCGAUACUAAAUAGUGAAACAUCGAAUCCAGAUAAAAUCUUAUGCAGAAUCCACUGUAAUUCCGAGCUGUAAUCACAUAAUUAUAUAAAAGUCGUUUCAGUAGCAGCAAAAGCCAAACUAAAACCAACUAGGAUUAAUAGGUUUAGCUUUUAGGCCGAGAAUAAUACACGAUUGACAAUUUUGUGGCUGAUUGAUUAAUUAAUUAAUAGUAUACUGUAUAUCGAUGUUGUUGUUGUAUACAGGACAUCUGACUUACAUGUCAAAUUAAUAGUUGAAUCUAUGAUUAUAUUGAGCAUGGCAGGUUUGACAUUUGAAACAUUGUUGAUGUUAAUAACCCAUUGAGUCGCAUUGCGCCCUAAUGCGCACUAAGGCCCUGUUUACAUGAGACCGGGACGAAGUCAAACCGGAAUGAAAAUUGAAAUUGUCAACAUGUUUACAUGACACCGGUACGAGGAUCACAAAAUCUUCAAUUUAUUCCCCUUGCCAGGCAAUUUUCUUUUUCAGGUGGCUUUUGUUAGCAUGUGUUGUUCCAAUGUCAAGAUUACAGCCGAGACCGGUCUGAAAUGUAUUUGUGUUUAUAUUCAUCCCGGUCUGAAUUCAUGCCGGUCUGAAUUCAUGCCGGUCUGAAUUCAUGCCGGUCUGAAGUCAGUCGGUUCAGUCCAGAAGGCGGAAUGACUUGAGACCGGUCUGAGUUAUUUUCGUCCCGGUCUCAUGUAAACAUCUAUUAUAGAUAAUACUAUGACCGAAACGAGAUGGUCCCGGUUUGACUUCGUUCCGGUCUCAUGUAAACGGGGCCUAAGUAUUUAUUAUUUUACUCUGGCUAUCUAACGCUAGGCAACUUUACUUAUCAAGGGGAGAGCACUGGCGGUUAAUGUGUUAACUAGCCUAUCUGCCCAUGUUUAUAGUUAACCCAUUGAGUUGCAUUGUGCCCUAAUGCGGCCUAAUUUAUUAUUUUACUCUGCCUAUCGCAAGACAAUUUUACUCAUUAAGGGCAGAGCGCUGGCGCUUAAUGUGUUAACUAGCCUAUCUGCCCAUGUGUCUAGUUAACCCAUUGAGUCGCAUUGCGCCCUAAUUUAUUAUUUUACUCUUUCUAAUGCCAGACAAUUUCACUCAUUAAGGGGAGAGCACCGGUGCUUAAUGGAUUAACUGGCCUAUCUGCCCAUGUGUGUUGUUAACACAUUGAGUCGCAUUGUGCCCUAAUUUAUUAUUUUACUCUGUCUAACGCCAGAUGAUUUCACUCAUUAAGGGGAGAGCACUGGUGCUUAUGGGUUAAUAUUGAAAAUAUAGAUCAACAUUUGUCAAAACUCAUGACUUGUGCAAUCAUUUCUGUAAUAAUUAAGAUAUUAAAAUACCAAAUAUAAUGCCUUAUGGCUUAUUUCAAAUAGGGAGAUGCUAUGUGACUAUGUCCAUUGAAAUUUAGUGGAUUUGUUGUACAUGAAAUAAAUGCUAGCCAUAAACAUAUUCAAGUCAAUCGAAGAGAAUGUAGAAUUGCACUUUACAUAAAAUUCCCUAGUUAUUGUACAUUAAUGCAAAAAAAAAUGCAUUUGAAAUGGAAUAUAUUGUUUUAAUUUUAUUUCUAUGGUUUGUACUAUGAUAUACAUGGGCUAUACACUCUUUGGGAACCCGCAGGGCUGUUGGCAGAGCAUUUCCAUGAUCUGGAACUUCAGUCCUAAACACGAUGUGUGGGUGCGAAGAUGUUGUGUAGGAACAGAACUGUACAGAUUAGAAAUAUGAUUACUGAUAUUUUCCAAAGAAAAACUAUUAAUAUAUAGAAGAGGAAAGAAAGAGGCAAUAAAUAGCCCAAAGUAUCUGUUGUACAUUUGACAUUUAAAAAUGGUAGGCUUAUUAAGGAUGAGAUACAGAGAAAAACAGUAAUGCAGAACUACAUUCUCUUAAAUUGUCAAAAUUAAACGCUACCAAUCUUGGUCUCGUUUCAAACUUGAAUAAAGAAAAGUCUAAAAAUAUAAAAACUAUAAGAACAGAUCAGCUAAAUCCAGUUAUAAAAUUAAAUGACGAAGGAAAGCUGUCAUUUUAGGAAAGUGUUGUGUUGGGGUGUGUAAACUCAUGAGGUUACAUGUUUCUGGUGAAUCUGUGCUUGCUGCAGCAAAAAUGUAUUAAUCGUUUGUGAUAUAAUUCACAAGAUGUCUAUUUUAACCUGUCGGUUGCCAAACAUCUUAAAUUAAAUAUGGAAUUUGUUUUGUCUGACCAAGAUAUAAUGAAUACCACUAGUGACAUGAGUAUAUCCAAUUAAUAUUUAACUAGAAAUAAAUGCAUGCAGCAACCCCUAGCCUAUAUUUUCCAAACAUUGAUUUAACGUGAACUAUUAGCAAUUGGCCAGCACUGAACGCAGGCUCACGUUGUGUCAAGUGUUGUCAAGGCAACAUAAUGUCACAUUAUAUUUUAAUUUUUUUUUAAUAAUUUUGCAAGUGUUCAUACCACAGAAUCUACCAUACAUAAUUUUAAACAAAUAGAUAGGUGAAGUAAUUCAAACAAAAUGAUUUUGAACUUUAUUACUCUACUCUGUCGAACGCCUAUUCUACUCGUAAAGGGGAGAGCCCUGGUGCUUAAUGGGUUAAAUAAGAUCGUAUAGUUAUAUGUACAUCAUGUAUUAUGUUUUUAUGCAGUCUCCCUGAAUCACUUGUACCAGGCUAUGGAAAUUCAUGUUUCCAAUUUUGUAUUUAUUUUUCUUAUGAUACAGUAUACUGUAAAUUUGAAUAAUAUUUGUGUGCUUAUAGUGAGUUUAUUUUUAGGAGAGUUUGUUGCGAGGCAGCAUAUAUUUUGAUAUUUCAAAAUAUUACUGUAUAUUGGUAUGUUAUACUUAGGGGUCGGGUGUGAUAUACUUUUUCAGGUAUUUUGUGUCUGAUGUAUGUAAGAGCUUUAUUAUUGGGUUUCUUGGUGAGACCUUAUAUCUUAUGUGUCCUAUAACCCUCUGUAAUUGCGGAUUAUUGCAUACAUUCUAAUUGUAUUUUUUUUGUAGGAGUCCGAAGAUGCAAAUGAUACAAUUUCAAACUUAUCACAACCCAUAUUGUGGCCGUUGGCAGCGAACUAGAAUACGACUAGAAACUGUCAAUCAUACGUUAUCGAGGGAAAGGAUGAAAAUUCCAUAACAAGCAACAGUUGUUUUGAUGCAAUUAUCGCCUUAUUGGCAAGUUUUUACAUCUUCAAUAUUGAGAGUACUGCCACACGAAGAGCAUCUUGUCUGCCUUGCAGACUAUAGUAGUGCAUGGGCAACACAGAAAAUGGCAUACAACUGCCAAUGAGGAUCACAGCCCUCUUCAAUGACUUGUCAUGACUCAUGAAUAUUAGUACUAAGUAAUUUUACACUUUUUGAGAGUUUUGUUGACAUAUGCUAACCCAAGUUAAUGUUAUUGAUGGAAUGUGUGUAUUGUCUCACAUCUCACCGAACUGUGGUAAUGUAUUAGAAAUUAUUCGUAUUGCGUUCACGUUAACAACCGCGCCUGCUAUUGCUAUCACAAGUUGAUUACUCUUUAAAAUUAGAAUUGUAAACUUUCGGAGCCAUAUGGCAUAUAUGUACGAAUCUUUUGAUGGUUCCCACAUUUCGGUGAGAUCCAUAAUACUGACUACUGUGCAUGUAUAUUGUAAUUUUAGUUAUAGUAUUGUGUUUAUAAUA
rnacentral:lncRNA from 1 species